CAACUUCUCUCCAAGUUAACAUCACUGGAGAAGCAUCACCAGAGAGGACAAGAGGGGCUAGAAGUUAUGUCUUGGACCUGUGACCCCAGUGUGACUCCCCGGUACCUGUCCCUGCACCUGGAUCCUGGGAUCCACUAGAGGGGAACAACAGACAAAAGUCUCCUAAACUUCAGUCAUUGCAGAAAUCCUCCACAGACUAUCACUUCUGUGAACCAUUCGGACUCUGAUUUGCUCUUUAGAUGGACUCAUUCUUCUUUUAAAAGGUACAUUUAUUUGGAAAGGAAAUGUCAUAAAGUUCUUUAAAAGGAAAGGCUGUUUUUCCUGGCCUUGAUGAGGAAGUCACUGGAAAAACAAAUAUAUGGAAAAUAAGC
ensembl:lncRNA